CGCGAGCGCACGUGUAGGCUCCGUCAUGAGCCCGACUGCGCCUCCUCCCACCGCCUUUCCAUCCGACGUCGGCAAGCUGGUUGCGGCGGGCCCGCUUUUGCUGGCCUACAGCGGCGAAUCGGCCACCCGAUCUGGGCGUCGAUGAUGCCGCUGCCUCUGCUCCCCUCUUCCUGGUGCAGGUCGAAGACGCAAUGGUGGUGGCGAACGUGCGGUUUAUGGGACUCGGGGCGGUGCCCUUCUCCGUGGCCUCGCCCUCCUGCGCGGGCGCAGCCUCUGCUCUGCGACACCCGGACAGCCAGUUCUGCAGCUCGUCAGCGCGCUCUAACGCGUGCUCAGCAACUUCCGUGUACGCCUCCCGACCUCCACGACGCGCUCCACGGCUUCGCAGGGCGUGACGGAGCCUCUGCUCGAAUCCUCAUUCGACGUCGUGCUCUGGGGCAAGGGGCUCCCGGAGUCCGUGCUCGCCGCCGCUGGUAAGACAGUCCUCCAUGUCUAUCCCAGUCUGUUCUACGGCUCCCUCUAUUCCUCCAUCCUGCUCGCCUCCUUCCUGUCCUUCCUCUCCCUGACCCUUCUCCGUCUUCAUUGACCGUGGCGGCGGCGGCGGCGGCCGGCUCCUAUUCGUACACCGUCGUCGAUCUACACCGCCGCGGCGUGUACUCGGAUUUCGCGACCCUGCCGACCCUUAUGCUGCCCCCUUGGACUCUGAUCAGCAUCUCAUUCACGGAUAGGAAUUUGGAAGGGGAAAGAGAGAUAUAUGUCCAUUUAACUUCACAGUGCUCAGUGAAAUUAUUAUGGAGUGACUAAGACUACAAUACAAGCAAGCUCACCAAUGACCAAACUGCGAAAGCAUUCUAAUUAAUCUGAGCAAGAUCUCACUGUUGGAUCUGCGGAAAAAAAACACAAGUUUCUCCUCUAAUAAAGGGUGUGCCUGGACAAGUCAACAAGAAUAACCAAGCAGCUUAAGGUAUUCUAAGAGCUUUACUGCGAUUGGACUAUGAAGCUUCUUAUGGUUGGCUGGCUUUUGUUUUGCAUAUUGCUAGCAUCAUAUUUACAUGACUAGCUAUUGAGAAUAACUCUUGCAGGCCAUUGAAAUCAGAUUUCCUUAUCAGUUUGAUGGGGUGUCAUCGGGUCCAGAUGAUUUAGUAAUUGUCAUAGCGAUUUGCUCCUGCUGCAUCCACAUUUAAUAGCGCGCUCUAUAUAACUGAUCAGCAGAAAGGUAUGAUCCAAGGGAAGGUUUCUGGGCGCUGCUUCCAAGUAUGAGCGUGAGAAGAGGAUCCCACUGACCCACUCGGUAGCUGUCUUGGGGGAUGCCCCGUAUGCUGUGGGAGGGUAUGAUGGAAGCAACAUGAUAUCUAACGUAGAGAUUUUUUACCUGUGCACUAAUUCAUGGAGAAUAUGCAGCCCAUUACAGGUUACAAUGGACGAUAAUUUGUUCUACAUUGGCGGGCACAGAUACAUCAUGCCAGCGACUGCAUUUCAACCGUCCCUGAUCCAAGUAUGAACACAGGGAAAACUGUUCUCAUGCCGGCAUUUUCCAAACUACUUAAUGCAGCUAUGUAACAUGGCCAGUUCCACCUAAAUACAAUGUCUGUUAAGUUAGUGAACCCUCCUAUUCUCCUACAGCUCCUUAGCUAUCCCAAUUGGAGAUUUAAAUUGUAAUAUAACAACUGCUCCUGUCAAAUACUUCUAUAUGUAUCAUCUGCAGUAGUUUAUCCAUAAACUAUUUAUCACUCUGUUGCUCUUUAGUACAAAUAUAUGUAUUUCCUUUA